rnacentral:rRNA from 1 species
UACGGAGGGGGCUAGCGUUGUUCGGAAUUACUGGGCGUAAAGCGCACGUAGGCGGCUUUGUAAGUUAGAGGUGAAAGCCCGGGGCUCAACUCCGGAAUUGCCUUUAAGACUGCAUCGCUCGAAUUGUGGAGAGGUAAGUGGAAUUCCAGGUGUAGCGGUGAAAUGCGUAGAUAUCUGGAGGAAUACCGGUGGCGAAGGCGGCAUCCUGGACCGGCAUUGACGCUGAGGAGCGAAAGCCAGGGGAGCAAACGGG